rnacentral:lncRNA from 1 species
GUCCACGAGGGAGGGCCAUGGGAGAGGUUGCCGAGAGCAGGGCUGGCAACCUGUUUGGUCCCUGGCAGCCCCCAGCGUGGCCCAGAAGGACCUCCAACAGAUUAAGGUUUAAACAGAAGAGGACUGGACAAUCUCAACAGAUACAGAAAAGGCGCGUAUGCAGAAGGAACCUGUUACAGGCUGAGCUGCGUUGCCCUCAAGUUCAAGCCUUAACGUCGCAGCCCUGGUCCCUCCGCCCUCCGCUGGCCUCCCCCCCAGGAGGACCCCACCAACAGGGUCCCACUGAAUAAUUACCCUCGGGAUGUGAUGGGCUGACACUGCCUCCUGACGUCGACGGCUGAGAAAGAUGCUCUUUUUCUAUCCCUCAAACGGUCAACUUUUUCGUUUGUUUUUGUUUGUUUUUGCUUUUUUUAAGGCCGCACCCCAGACACAUAGAGGUCCCCAGGCUAAGGGUUGCAUUGGAGCUACAGCUGCCUGCCUACACCACAGCCUCAGCAACGCCAGAUCCAAGUCGCGUCUGAGACCUACACCACAGCUCACAGCAAUGCCGGAUCCUUAACCCACUGAGCAAGGCCAGGGAUCGAACCUGCGUCCUCGUGGAUGCUAGUCAAAUGGGUUAACCGCUGAGCCAUGCCGGGAAUUCCUGGUCGGUCAAAUUUCCUCACUGCUCUUUCUUUUUCAAAGUCCUGUGUCUGCUGGGGUGACCUCACGGUAAUUUUCCUAUGGAAGGAGGCUUCUGAGAGGAUAAGGACUCUGACACCUGUUUAGAGAGAGGGGUUCCUGAUUCUGGGGUCCGAGGAGGGCUUCCGAGGGUCUGGGGACCACCUGCAAUUGUCCAGCAAACAAUGCGUCCACGCACACGGAUAGGCAUCUAUUGUCCCCCAAGAAAGGGAGUCGCUAGUUUUCAGCAGAAGUUCAAGGGGAAUCUGUAUCCCAGAGAAGAGUAGCAAAUGUUCACGGAGAAGCAGUGGAUACCCGAGGUCCCUGGCCUGGAGCUCAUGACCCCUUAGGGUCUAUGGAGACAAUUCAGGAAGCCCAGGAGCUGAGACCAGGUCAAUUUCGAUCUUUAGUUCAUAGCUAUUUCUCCACUCUAUUAAAACCGUUGCAGGUAUCUCGAAAUAUUCCUAGCACUCUUCAUUCCUCAGAAAUUAUGGUGUCUCUAUCACAUCUUUCUGGACUCCACGUUGGUACUCCCCUCCCGUAAGGGAGAAAAACCCCUAUAGGACAAUGUGGGGUGGGGAGGGCUCUUCUUCCGCCUCCCAGCUGUCCUGGGAGCUGUUGCUUUCCUGUCAUAAAGACUUCGCUUGCUUAAAAAAAAAAAAUCCAGAAAUCGUGGUGGUUUUAAACCAGCAACUAUGCUGUCUUUAAUGCAUUAAUAAAGAAGCUCAUAUAC